GACACGACGGCUUGUGUGUCCCUUCCACAUGCUAUCAAAUGCGACACUGAUGCGGGAUCUGGUAUCUCUGUCUGUGAGUCUUUCCGUUAGCAACAGGUUUGCACCAGCAUUGACGUUAAGUGUGAAGCCUUUACUACACUUAAAGUAUAAGCAUAUUUAUAUAUAAGUAUAAUUAUAUUGGAACAAUCUCCUUUCAGGGCCAUGAAAACAAUUACAAAGAAACAUUAUACUACUAACGUGCAAACAGACAGGUUAGAUAUGCCACACAGUCUGUAAAUAUACAGGGACUAACAUUUUCUUUCUUAUGUUAUAUUUAUCUGUCAAAAUGAAAA